GCAUUAAAAUAGAGACGGUGUUCGUCUAAAGAAAAAUAGAGACGGUGUUGGGGUGCAACCGUUCGCCUCCACCAGACAAGGGAGUGCGCCCCUUAUGUUGUAGCUUCUUCUUUCUCUUGAUUUUUUUUUUAAAAGGGAAGAUCACCGGUCUCUUCAUUGGUUGAUUGUACACAUCCAUACAUUAUUCAUUAUUCAAAGUUAACAGACAAAGCCAAACAACUUAACAAUAUCGAACAAGUCUACCAAUCAAGAAAAAAAAAACCGAGACUAUCUAUCUUACAGCAACUCCGCAAACCAACCGAACCCUAUAUAACAAAUGACCGAAACAGACAAAAGGUACACAACUUCUAGAGAAAACCUUGAAGAAGGUUCAUCGCACGUGCGGGAUCGAUAAUAUGAGUCCAACCAUUGGCCUACAUCAGGAUUUUCAUCAAAAAAUCAAGUUUCGAGCCACCACCUUCAGCAAGGGCAUGACACAUGCGUGUGGACAUUGCGUGGUCAUAGAUUAUGUGAUUCCACCAGAGUGAGUGUAUACUUUCCGUUGAGGUCGUCACUGUCAUGAAUCCCUCUACCAGC
rnacentral:lncRNA from 1 species